UGGACUGCCUCGAUAGAGAUAUCCAAAAUAAGAGUGCUGGUGUGUACACGAUUGCGAAACUUCCUCCUUCAUUCGGAGCAGCGUUUUCAAGGCUCUUGGGAUGUAUUAGGGACAACUUCGGGGACACUCCGUACGAGGUUUUAACAGACAGCAGAGCUGUGGCCAUAAAGGCGAUUCAUACUUUGGGUUGGACAUAAAAAGCCAAAGCCAAU